GAAGCUUGCUUCUCUGAUGUUAGCGGCGGACGGGUGAGUAACACGUGGAUAACCUACCUAUAAGACUGGGAUAACUUCGGGAAACCGGAGCUAAUACCGGAUAAUAUUUUGAACCGCAUGGUUCAAAAGUGAAAGACGGUCUUGCUGUCACUUAUAGAUGGAUCCGCGCUGCAUUAGCUAGUUGGUAAGGUAACGGCUUACCAAGGCAACGAUGCAUAGCCGACCUGAGAGGGUGAUCGGCCACACUGGAACUGAGACACGGUCCAGACUCCUACGGGAGGCAGCAGUAGGGAAUCUUCCGCAAUGGGCGAAAGCCUGACGGAGCAACGCCGCGUGAGUGAUGAAGGUCUUCGGAUCGUAAAACUCUGUUAUUAGGGAAGAACAUAUGUGUAAGUAACUGUGCACAUCUUGACGGUACCUAAUCAGAAAGCCACGGCUAACUACGUGCCAGCAGCCGCGGUAAUACGUAGGUGGCAAGCGUUAUCCGGAAUUAUUGGGCGUAAAGCGCGCGUAGGCGGUUUUUUAAGUCUGAUGUGAAAGCCCACGGCUCAACCGUGGAGGGUCAUUGGAAACUGGAAAACUUGAGUGCAGAAGAGGAAAGUGGAAUUCCAUGUGUAGCGGUGAAAUGCGCAGAGAUAUGGAGGAACACCAGUGGCGAAGGCGACUUUCUGGUCUGUAACUGACGCUGAUGUGCGAAAGCGUGGGGAUCAAACAGGAUUAGAUACCCUGGUAGUCCACGCCGUAAACGAUGAGUGCUAAGUGUUAGGGGGUUUCCGCCCCUUAGUGCUGCAGCUAACGCAUUAAGCACUCCGCCUGGGGAGUACGACCGCAAGGUUG
rnacentral:rRNA from 1 species